rnacentral:rRNA from 1 species
UCCAGACUCCUACGGGAGGCAGCAGUGAGGGAUAUUGGUCAAUGGGGGAAACCCUGAACCAGCAACGCCGCGUGGGGGAAGACGGUUUUCGGAUUGUAAACCUCUGUCCUCUGUGAAGAUAAUGACGGUAGCAGAGGAGGAAGCUCCGGCUAACUACGUGCCAGCAGCCGCGGUAAUACGUAGGGGGCAAGCGUUAUCCGGAUUUACUGGGUGUAAAGGGAGCGUAGACGGCCAGACAAGUCAGAAGUGAAAGCCCAGGGCUCAACCCUGGGACUGCUUUUGAAACUGCCGGGCUGGAGUGCAGGAGAGGUAAGCGGAAUUCCUAGUGUAGCGGUGAAAUGCGUAGAUAUUAGGAGGAACACCAGUGGCGAAGGCGGCCUGCUGGACGGUGACUGACGCUGAGGCUCGAAAGCGUGGGGAGCAAACAGGAUUAGAUACCCGUGUA